rnacentral:lncRNA from 1 species
CUUCGCCUGUGCUGCUGGGGUACCUCUUCCAGCUUAGUUCCAUCUGAAAGGAAUCUGGUCUGUGCUUGGAGACUGCACAGUAUGUGGGGCAUUCUGGCUUCAGAAGCACGCUGCUACUCCAGACUUGAGCACUGAUGUAAUGGGAAGGGGCAGAGGGAAUACUCAGAAUGUACUAUUUCAUGUUACAGGUGCUGACAGCAUGUGGAGCUGAGAGCAGUGAAAGUCCAAAGGACUGGGGCACCAGAGGAGGUCACCAGGAGCUGUCAUGACUGCAGGACAUAUAUAAGCCCUGCAGGAAAGAGAAAGGGAGAAUGAUUCAUUGGUUGAUGCAAGCCUCUGUAGGAGUAGACUGAAUCAAGCCUCUGUCAAGAACCACUUCUGCAAUACUGAAUUAACAUACCUAAGAUCAGCACAUCAGGAAGAUAGCCUUCUACCAAGAAUAGUGUGGAGAUACACCUUGUUCACAGAAGCUCUGGAAACAUCAUGAGACUCAGACAGAUACAGUGCAUCCUCCGAUUGCGGAGAUGUUGCUGCUCUCUGAGCACUGCACACUCUGUGUUCAUGACUGAUGGAAAUAAUGCCCGGUUUUGGGGGAGCUUUGUGUUAUGGGAGACAGUAACAGCUGCUCUAAUAGGGUGGCUUAUCACUUUCUUGUGGAGACAGGUUCUAUCAUCUCAUUAAUGCAAGCCCUGCCCCUUCACCUAGAUUCCUUCCCAGGCAGCUACAGUGGAUCUGCUCACCAAGGGAAUUUGUCCCACUGGAUUCCAUUUUUUUCUGUGCAGUUGAAUGAAAAGUGUGUGUCUUUUGAAGAACAGCAACUGAAAGAAAUAUUGAUGACUGCCAGGGUAUCUACAGAAAAUGAUAUGAAAAUUACUCUACUACAACAGUGAAGAAAAAUGGGCUUUGUUAACUCUUUCUUGUAGGUUGUUUAUAUUAAUAGGAACAAGUAAAGUUUUGUAUUUUUUCAGAGAAAUACACAAGGCCUUGAAUUGUAUUGUUUUAAUUGCAGCUAACUGAAUGAAUUAAGUGGAAAAACGCGCACAGUACUUUGAUUGUCUAAUUCUCUGUAUGUGAGGCUUUGGGAACAAUUUGUUACUAUAAAAGAACAGCAGUAACCAGAAAUCAGCCGACAUGUAAUUGCUAGGCAGAGGGGCAGUUUGGGGAAAGCUGAUACUUAUUUAUAAAUUAUUAAAUAAAAGCACAUAAUAUGAGGAUCA